UACGUAGGGGGCAAGCGUUGUCCGGAAUCAUUGGGCGUAAAGAGCGUGUAGGCGGUCCGGUAAGUCCGGUGUGAAAGUCCAGGGCUCAACCCUGGGAUGCCGGUCGAUACUGCCGGACUAGAGUUCGGAAGAGGCGAGUGGAAUUCCCGGUGUAGCGGUGAAAUGCGCAGAUAUCGGGAGGAACACCUAUGGCGAAGGCAGCUCGCUGGGACGUUACUGACGCUGAGACGCGAAAGCGUGGGGAGCAAACAGG
rnacentral:rRNA from 1 species